UCUGAGAUGCAGUUGUACCUGAUAGGA
rnacentral:piRNA from 1 species